rnacentral:lncRNA from 10 species
UACUAAAAUAUAAAAUAGGCUCUAUUAUCUUUCAUUGUCAAAAUUUAAAAGAAAUUUAAUAAAAACAAAUGUCUUUCAGUUCAUUUAUUUGCAGAAAGAAAAACCUCAAUGGUGAACAUUGCUAACUACUAUACGAGUAAAGCACAAAACUGACAUUUCAAUUACAAAAAUAAAUACAAAAGCCAACAGAUCAUUUAUUUUGGCACACAAUUAUACGUUCACAGAACAUACCAUAUGUACAGAAUUUCUAUAUGUAAUAAAGUCACUCCAUACUGCUAGCUUCAAUGUUCCUAUAUCUUGCAGGAAUUACCUUGAGAAAUAAGUGGUAGCUAUUAAACAUUUAAAUGAUGUAUUAAAACAUAUUGCUAUCACAAAAACCGUACUGGCCUGUGAUGUUCCCUUGACUGCCUCUGACCUGCUGCUUGCCCUGAGAGUAGGUGCAUACUUAGAAUAUAAAGUAAGUUUUUGGAGAGAAUGCUAAAAAGAAAUAAACAACAAAAAACUUCUAUUAAUACAACUCCAAAGGCCUUUGUGUAUAUUAAGUUGAAAUGUGAAGAAAACUGAAAUAAAAGAAAUAAAGAUUUCUAGUCCUGAGUGAUGUCACACUGCACAUGAACUCAUUAAAAGCACACAUACGGCCAGGUGCAGUGGCUCAUGCCUAUAAUCCCAGCACUUUAGGAGGCUGAGGCAGGCGAAUCACCUGAGGUCAGGAGUUCAAGACCAGCCUGACCGACAUGGAGAAACCUCAUCUCUACUAAAAAUACAAAAUUAGCUGGGCGUGGUGGCGCAUGCCUGUAAUCCUAGCUACUUGGGAGGCUGAGGCAGGAGAACUGCUUGAACCUGAGAGGCGAAAGUUGCAGUGAGCCGAGAUUGAGCCAUUGCACUCCAGCCUGGGCAACAAGAGCAAAACUCUAUCUCAAAAAAAAAAAAAAAA